rnacentral:rRNA from 1 species
CGGGGGCGGCAGCUUACACAUGCAAGUCGAGCGGUAGCACAGGGGAGCUUGCUCCCUGGGUGACGAGCGGCGGACGGGUGAGUAAUGUCUGGGAAACUGCCUGAUGGAGGGGGAUAACUACUGGAAACGGUAGCUAAUACCGCAUAACGUCGCAAGACCAAAGAGGGGGACCUUCGGGCCUCUUGCCAUCAGAUGUGCCCAGAUGGGAUUAGCUAGUAGGUGGGGUAAUGGCUCACCUAGGCGACGAUCCCUAGCUGGUCUGAGAGGAUGACCAGCCACACUGGAACUGAGACACGGUCCAGACUCCUACGGGAGGCAGCAGUGGGGAAUAUUGCACAAUGGGCGCAAGCCUGAUGCAGCCAUGCCGCGUGUGUGAAGAAGGCCUUCGGGUUGUAAAGCACUUUCAGCGAGGAGGAAGGUGGUGAACUUAAUACGUUCAUCAAUUGACGUUACUCGCAGAAGAAGCACCGGCUAACUCCGUGCCAGCAGCCGCGGUAAUACGGAGGGUGCAAGCGUUAAUCGGAAUUACUGGGCGUAAAGCGCACGCAGGCGGUUUGUUAAGUCAGAUGUGAAAUCCCCGGGCUCAACCUGGGAACUGCAUUUGAAACUGGCAAGCUAGAGUCUCGUAGAGGGGGGUAGAAUUCCAGGUGUAGCGGUGAAAUGCGUAGAGAUCUGGAGGAAUACCGGUGGCGAAGGCGGCCCCCUGGACGAAGACUGACGCUCAGGUGCGAAAGCGUGGGGAGCAAACAGGAUUAGAUACCCUGGUAGUCCACGCUGUAAACGAUGUCGAUUUGGAGGUUGUGCCCUUGAGGCGUGGCUUCCGGAGCUAACGCGUUAAAUCGACCGCCUGGGGAGUACGGCCGCAAGGUUAAAACUCAAAUGAAUUGACGGGGGCCCGCACAAGCGGUGGAGCAUGUGGUUUAAUUCGAUGCAACGCGAAGAACCUUACCUACUCUUGACAUCCAGAGAACUUUCCAGAGAUGGAUUGGUGCCCUUCGGGAACUCUGAGACAGGUGCUGCAUGGCUGUCGUCAGCUCGUGUUGUGAAAUGUUGGGUUAAGUCCCGCACGAGCGCAACCCUUAUCCUUUGUUGCAGCGAUCGCCGGCACUCAAGAGACUGCAGUGAUAACUGAGGAAGGUGGGGAUGACGUCAGUCAUCAUGGUCUUACGAGUAGGCUACCACGUGCUACAAUUGCGUUAUCCAGAGAGCCGACCCUCGCGGAGAGAGACCAAAGCCGGG